AUUGAACGCUGGCGGCAGGCUUAACACAUGCAAGUCGAGCGGGGAAAUAUAGCUUGCUAUAUGACCUAGCGGCGGACGGGUGAGUAAUGCUUAGGAAUCUGCCUAUUAGUGGGGGACAACAUUUCGAAAGGGAUGCUAAUACCGCAUACGCCCUACGGGGGAAAGCAGGGGAUCACUUGUGACCUUGCGCUAAUAGAUGAGCCUAAGUCGGAUUAGCUAGUUGGUGGGGUAAAGGCCUACCAAGGCGACGAUCUGUAGCGGGUCUGAGAGGAUGAUCCGCCACACUGGGAAUGAGACACGGCCCAGACUCCUACGGGAGGCAGCAGUGGGGAAUAUUGGACAAUGGGGGGAACCCUGAUCCAGCCAUGCCGCGUGUGUGAAGAAGGCCUUUUGGUUGUAAAGCACUUUAAGCGAGGAGGAGGCUACUUAGAUUAAUACUCUAGGAUAGUGGACGUUACUCGCAGAAUAAGCACCGGCUAACUCUGUGCCAGCCGCCGCAGUAA
rnacentral:rRNA from 1 species